CUGCUGUCAGCAGGAGACCCCCAGCCUCCACCUGUAUCCCCUCAUCUGUGGGGCCGUGGCAGCCCCCCCUCCAGACCCCUUCAUCUUUGGGGCUGUGACAGCCCCCAGAGCCAUGACUGGGCUCCCCCGGGCCCCUUCAGCUGUGGGGUGGUGACAGUCCCAAGGCUUGUGACAGGACCCCUGUGUCUGUGGGGCCAUGACAGCCCCCAGACCCAUCAUCUGUGGGGCUGUGACAACCUCCAGACCCCUUCAUCUAUGGGGCAGCAACAACCCCCAGGCUCAUGACAGGACCCCCAUAUCUGUGGGGCCGUGACAGCCCUCUGGACCCCCCAGUGUCGUGACAGGGCUCCCCAGACCCCCUCAUCUUUGGGAUCACGACAACCCCCGGAGCUCAUGAUGGGACCCCUGUGUGUGUGGGGCCGUGACAACCCCCAGGCUCGUGACAGAACCCUUGUGUCUGUGGGGCCAUGACAGCCCCCUGGGCCCCCCAGUGUCGUGACAGGGCUCCCCAGACCCCCUCAGCUGUGGUUUGGUGACAGUCCCCAGGCUCAUGACAGGACCCCCGUGUCUGUGGGGCCGUGACAACCCCCAGGUUCGUGACAGAACCCCCAUGUUUAUGGGAUCAUGACAGCCCCCUGGGUCCCCCACUGUCGUGACAGAGCUCCCCAGACCCCUCAUAUUUGGAAUCACAACAACCCCCGAGGCUCAUGACGGGACCCCUGUGGCGGGACCCCCACAUCCCCCCUCGCCCUCGGGGGCUGUGCCCGGCCCCCCGCUGGCUGUGGCGGCGGCUGCGGGGCGGCGCCAGGCCCGGGCUGGGCGCGGAGCAGCGCCCGGGGCCCCCUUCUCGCCGCUGCGCCUUUAACGCGGCGACUCCGCCGCCGCCUCCCAGCUCGGGGCCCGGCGGCGGCGCAGCGAAGAUGGCGGAGUCCGGCGGGGCCGAGUUCGCCGCGGAGCGGCCGAGCAGGAGCAGCGGCGCGUCUCGCACACAGGUGUUGGUAGGGCUGGGAAGCGUCUCGGUGUGGGGCGCGUAGCAGUGAGAAAUGGAAGUAAUUUGUUUCAGGGCUGUGAUAAAUCACCCGGGCUGGAGCUGCGGCAGUUCCGCUCCCCGAGCUGGAGCUCCGCGGCGUUCUCCAUCGCUGCGUGUUUGUUUUCUUUGAUAAUUUUAAAUUAAAGCCUGGUGAGAUCUGGAUCCUGCUUC
rnacentral:lncRNA from 1 species